AGGUGGUUCUGGCGUUGAGGCAAGUGGGUUGUAAGCGUCCGCUAUCACUACUCUGCCUCCAACCUGCUUCUACAGUCACUGUGAUAAUUUAUAUUUCCAUUCGAGUCUGUAACUUCAUGGAAAUAUCCCCUCCGAUUUGACCACCAGUGUGACGCCUCUUCCAUGCUUCAGGCGAAACUGGAGACAAGAUUCACAGCCGAGAAGUUUGAGAUACGAGGAAAGGAUUCAUGAAUAUAACCUGUUGGCCAGGACGUGCUACAGGACGUGCUACGGGACGUGCUACGGGACGUGCUACAAGACGUGCUAAAAGACGUGCUACAGGACAAAAUCGCCGCGAACGAGUCUGAAGGUAGUUUGGUGGUCACGGAGUGGUGUCGAGAGCUUCAAGCACUGGUCGAGGGAAUGUGACAAAAAAUUGUCCUCCAAUCAGGGUCACCGACUUCCCGUGACCGAAGUGAGGUCAGCCUGGGUCACCAAGUGUGAAGCAGUGUUGUUCUACCUUCUGGAGAGUCUUGUUCUACCUAUAUCAGUAUGGAGCUACCAGACGAUGUGUGUGUUCGCCGCACGCUGUAGGAAGCCUUGUUAUAUUUUGUGUUAGAGGAGAACAGUGUGUUUGUUCUAUUAACCUUGGACACGUCUUCCCUAAUGCCGUAUAUGUUUGUGGGAAUGAACGAGCAGAUGUGCUGGCUGCUGAA